UGGGGAAUAUUGGGCAAUGGAGGAAACUCUGACCCAGCAACGCCGCGUGAAGGAAGAAGGUCUUCGGAUUGUAAACUUCUGUCGUGAGGGACGAAGAAUGACGGUACCUCACAAGAAAGCCCCGGCUAACUACGUGCCAGCAGCCGCGGUAAUACGUAGGGGGCGAGCGUUGUCCGGAAUGACUGGGCGUAAAGGGAGUGUAGGCGGCUUAAGCAAGUUAUAUGUGAAAGCCCGUGGCUUAACCAUGGAAUUGCAUAUAAAACUGCUUAGCUAGAGUGUGGGAGAGGUAAGUGGAAUUCCUAGUGUAGCGGUGGAAUGCGUAGAGAUUAGGAGGAACACCGGUGGCGAAAGCGGCUUACUGGACCAUAACUGACGCUGAGGCUCGAAAGCGUGGGGAGCA
rnacentral:rRNA from 1 species